rnacentral:rRNA from 1 species
AUUGAACGCUGGCGGCAGGCCUAACACAUGCAAGUCGAGCGAGCGGCGGACGGGUGAGUAAUGUAUGGGGACUGCCCGAUAGAGGGGGAUAACUACUGGAAACGGUGGCUAAUACCGCAUACUAUCGGAGAACCCAUAAGGGAUAAGCUAGUAGGUGGGGUAAAGGCUCACCUAGGCGACGAUCUCUAGCUGGGCCGAGAGGAUGGUCGUCCACACUGGGACUGAGACACGGCCCGGACUCCUACGGAGGCAGCAGUGGGGAAUAUUGCACAAGGGGCGCAAGCCUGAUACAGCCAUGCCGCGUGUAUGAAGAAGGCCUUAGGGUUUUAAAGUACUUUCAGCGGGGAGGCGUUACCCGCAGAAGAAGCACCGGCUAACUCCGUGCCAGCAGCCGCGGUAAUUC